AUUGAACGCUGGCGGCAUGCCUUACACAUGCAAGUCGAACGGUAACAGGUCUUCGGAUGCUGACGAGUGGCGCACGGGUGAGUAAUACAUCGGAACGUGCCCGAUCGUGGGGGAUAACGGAGCGAAAGCUUUGCUAAUACCGCAUACGAUCUACGGAUGAAAGCAGGGGACCGCAAGGCCUUGCGCGGACGGAGCGGCCGAUGGCAGAUUAGGUAGUUGGUGGGAUAAAAGCUUACCAAGCCGACGAUCUGUAGCUGGUCUGAGAGGUCGACCAGCCACACUGGGACUGAGACACGGCCCAGACUCCUACGGGAGGCAGCAGUGGGGAAUUUUGGACAAUGGGCGAAAGCCUGAUCCAGCCAUGCCGCGUGCAGGAUGAAGGCCUUCGGGUUGUAAACUGCUUUUGUACGGAACGAAAAGACUCUUUCUAAUAAAGAGGGUCCAUGACGGUACCGUAAGAAUAAGCACCGGCUAACUACGUG
rnacentral:rRNA from 1 species